rnacentral:rRNA from 1 species
ACGCUAGCGGCAGGCCUAAUACAUGCAAGUCGAACGGUAACAUUGGUGCUUGCACCAGAUGACGAGUGGCGCACGGGUGCGUAACGCGUAUGCAAUCUACCUUUUACUAGAGUAUAGCCCAGAGAAAUUUGGAUUAAUCCUCUAUAAUAUCUUUAAGUUUCAUGACUUUUAGAUUAAAGUUUUAACGGUAAAAGAUGAGCAUGCGUCCUAUUAGUUUGUAGGUGAGGUAACGGCUCACCUAGACUACGAUAGGUAGGGGCCCUGAGAGGGGGAUCCCCCACACUGGUACUGAGACACGGACCAGACUCCUACGGGAGGCAGCAGUAAGGAAUAUUGGACAAUGGACGAAAGUCUGAUCCAGCCAUGCCGCGUGCAGGAUGAAAGCCCUAUGGGUUGUAAACUGCUUUUAUACAGGAAGAAACACUCGUACGUGUACGAGCUUGACGGUACUGUAAGAAUAAGGACCGGCUAACUCCGUGCCAGCAGCCGCGGUAAUACGGAGGGUCCGAGCGUUAUCCGGAAUCAUUGGGUUUAAAGGGUCCGCAGGCGGUCUUUUAAGUCAGAGGUGAAAGCCUACAGCUCAACUGUAGAACGGCCUUUGAUACUGAAAGACUUGAGUU